ensembl:lncRNA
ACACACAACAUGAGAUGUCACAGGGAGUGUGACACAUGAAAUCAGAGGCGCAAUGGGGAGUGUUACACACAAAGUAGGAGAUGCCAGAGGGAGUGUGACACAUGAAGUUAGAAAUGCCAGGUGGACUAUGACACACGAUAUCAGAGAUGCAACAGUGAGUUUUACACUCAAAGUCAGGGUCGCCAGAGGUAUUGUGACAUAAGAAAUCAGAGACACCAGUGUGAGUUUACACAAGAAGUCCGAGACUAAAUGGGGGAAUUUUACAAAGGCAGAAAGGUGAUGUUGAGUGUUACGAAGUAAGACACGCUAGGGGGAGUGUUGCACAUUAAGUCAAAAAUGCCACAUGGAGUGUUCCAAAAGAAGUCCAAGACACCACAAGGGAGUGUUACACAUGGUGGAAGAAAUGCUACAUGCAGUGUUACACACAAAGUAAGAGACAGCAGGGGGAUGUUGUAAUCUAAGUCAGAGAUGUCACUUGGAGUGUUACACACAAAGUCAGAGACACCAGGGGGAGAGUUACACAGGAUGUCAGAGACACCACAUGGACUGUUACAAAUGAAGUCAGAGACACCAGUGUGUGUUUGACAGACGAAGUCAAAGACGUCACUGGGAUUAUGACACACAAAGGCCGAUAAGACAUGGGGUGUGUGAUCCAUGCAUUCAGACACACCACAGGAGAAUGUUAUGUGAAAUGUCAAAGACACCAGGGAUUCUAAUGCUCUAAGACAGUGAUGCAGCAGGGAGUGUUACAAAUUCACUGAUGCCAGGGGAGGUGUUACACAUGAAUUCACACACCAUUGGGAGUAUUACUCACAAAUUCAGAGAUGCCACGGGGGUGUGUUACACACAAUGUGAGACACCACAUACAGUAUUACCCGCCAAGUCAUAGAUAAUAUGGGGAGUGUCACACCCAAAAUCAGAGACGCCAGAGGAGUUGUGACACAUCAAGUCAGAGAAGCCAGAAAGAUUGUGACACAUGAAGUCAGUGAAGCCAGGUGAAGUAUUACAUAUGAAGUCAUAGAUGUCAGGGGAGUGUUACAUGAGAACUCAGAGACACCAUGUAGAUUGUUACAAAUGAAGUCUGUGUGAUGCCAGGGAGAGUGUGACAAAUGAUGUCACAAACACUAUGGGGAGUGUUACACAUGAAAUCAGAGAAGUCAGGGGUACUACGACACAGGAAUUCAGAGAUGCCAGGGGAGUGUAACAUACAAAGUCAGUGAUGCCUGGGGGAGUUUUAUGCACAAAGUCUGAGAUGCCACAGUUGUGUGUUACACACAAAGUUGGAGAUGCCAGGAGGAGUGUUAUGCAUGAAUUCAGAAAGACCAUGGGUAGAGUAAAGCAGGAUAUCAGAGAUGCCACAGAGAGUGUGACACACAAAGUCACAGAUGCCAGAGGCAUUGUGACACACGAAGUCAGAGAUGCCAAAUUGACUGUUACAGAUGAAUUCAGAGGUGCCAGGAGGAGUGUUACACACUAACCCAGAAACAACACGGGAAUUGUUAGACAUGAAGUCUGAUGUGCCAGGGUGAGUGUGACACACAAAGUCAGAAAUGCCAGGGGUAGAGUUACACAGGAAGUCAGAGACACCAGGGUGUGAGUGACGGAAGAAGUCAUAGACACUUUGGGAAGUGUGAAACACGAAACCAGAGACAACAGGUGCAGUAUCACACACGAAAUCAGAAAGGAAUAUUGGGGUGUUACACAUGAAAUCAUAGACACGAGGAGGAGUGUAACAAACGAAAACAGAUAUGUGGUGUGUUACAAAGUAAGAAAACCCAUGUGGAGUGUUACACACAAAGUCAGAGACACCAUGUGGAGUGUGACAAACAAAGUCAGAGACGCCAUUGGUAGUGUAACACAUUGAAGAAAUAGACGGCAGAGGGACUGUGACACAUGCACUCAGAGAAAGAAGUGGGAGUGUGAAACGAAUUCAGAAACAACAAGGUAGUCUGACACAGGAACUAAAAGAUACCAGAGAGGUUGUGACACAGGCAGGCAGAGACACUAGAAGGAUUGUGACACACGAAGUCAGUGACACCACUAGGAGUGUUAGAAACA